UGCAAGUCGAACGGUGAACACGGAGCUUGCUCUGUGGGAUCAGUGGCGAACGGGUGAGUAACACGUGAGCAACCUGCCCCUGACUCUGGGAUAAGCGCUGGAAACGGCGUCUAAUACUGGAUACGAGUAGCGGCCGCAUGGUCAGUUACUGGAAAGAUUUAUUGGUUGGGGAUGGGCUCGCGGCCUAUCAGCUUGUUGGUGAGGUAAUGGCUCACCAAGGCGUCGACGGGUAGCCGGCCUGAGAGGGUGACCGGCCACACUGGGACUGAGACACGGCCCAGACUCCUACGGGAGGCAGCAGUGGGGAAUAUUGCACAAUGGGCGGAAGCCUGAUGCAGCAACGCCGCGUGAGGGAUGACGGCCUUCGGGUUGUAAACCUCUUUUAGCAGGGAAGAAGCGAAAGUGACGGUACCUGCAGAAAAAGCACCGGCUAACUACGUGCCAGCAGCCGCGGUAAUACGUAGGGUGCAAGCGUUAUCCGGAAUUAUUGGGCGUAAAGAGCUCGUAGGCGGUUUGUCGCGUCUGCUGUGAAAUCCGGAGGCUCAACCUCCGGCCUGCAGUGGGUACGGGCAGACUAGAGUGCGGUAGGGGAGAUUGGAAUUCCUGGUGUAGCGGUGGAAUGCGCAGAUAUCAGGAGGAACACCGAUGGCGAAGGCAGAUCUCUGGGCCGUUACUGACGCUGAGGAGCGAAAGGGUGGGGAGCAAACAGGCUUAGAUACCCUGGUAGUCCACCCCGUAAACGUUGGGAACUAGUUGUGGGGUCCAUUCCACGGAUUCCGUGACGCAGCUAACGCAUUAAGUUCCCCGCCUGGGGAGUACGGCCGCAAGGCUAAAACUCAAAGGAAUUGACGGGGGACCCGCACAAGCGGCGGAGCAUGCGGAUUAAUUCGAUGCAACGCGAAGAACCUUACCAAGGCUUGACAUAUAC
rnacentral:rRNA from 1 species